UUCAAGGUGGGGGAUGAAGUAUUCGGAGACAUUCACGAGCAUGCUUUGUACCCAAAGAGAUGUGUGUCACUGGUGGAGUACAAUACAGUGGAGGAGAAGGUACUAGCUUCGAAGCCCAAGAAUUUGAGUUUUGCCGAGGCAGCCUGUUGCCGUUGAAAUAGCCUACAGGGGGACUUGAAAGUGCUGGGCUUUCAGCUGGUAAAUCACUUCUUGUUUUGGGUGGUGCUGGUGGAGUUGGAUCUUUUAUCAUUCAGGUCUAUGCAACUGCUACUGUCUUUCUUGUUGCUUUUUUGGAGAGGAAGGGAAAUUUCCUGAGGCAUUGUAGUGGAGAUAUGUUGCUCAUUAUAGACUUCUGGAAGAUCAGCAACAAGAGUUGUUAAUUGACUCAAGAACUAUAGAGAAAAUCUUAUGCUCAAGAAAUGUUUCGACAACACAUUUUUUUGGGGACUUGGAUUUGUUUUGUAAAAUUACCUUGACUUAUAUGUGAAAUUUAGGCCAAAUACCACUUAUCAAACUAUUUGUAUGGUGGUAUUGAACUUGAUUAUGAUAUUCGAAUGUUUAAAAUGAUAUUUUAGCA